rnacentral:rRNA from 1 species
UACGUAGGGUGCAAGCGUUGUCCGGAAUUAUUGGGCGUAAAGAGCUCGUAGGCGGUCUGUCGCGUCUGCUGUGAAAACUCAGGGCUUAACCCUGAGCUUGCAGUGGGUACGGGCAGACUAGAGUGUGGUAGGGGGAGACUGGAAUUCCUGGUGUAGCGGUGAAAUGCGCAGAUAUCAGGAGGAACACCGAUGGCGAAGGCAGGUCUCUGGG